GGCCUGUCAUUAAAUAGGCUGAACCUGUCAUUAAGCCCUUCUCUGAAGAUGGAAAGACCAAGAGCUGCGUUUCUUCCUACUCUUCCUAGGGGAGUUCGAAUGAAAACAUUGUUUUACAAAUUUAAAAUGUCACAACUGUCACUACAGUGAAAUAGGAAGAGAGCCCCGAGUUGUAUGUCUGUUGGCCAAACAGCUCUGGGGAGCUGCUGCAUGAGAAUGGCUGGGCAGAUCCUAUUUACAAAGGAACACAAGAAAAUCGCAGUUAUACAGAGAAAAAGCAAAUGAGCAGAAUGACUGAGAAUUUCCCAUGAGGAAGAAGUGGGAGAUUUACUCCUCAAGCGACCGGGAAAGCAUAUGGGGUUAGGGGCAGUGCUUGCCGAGCGAGCGCGCUAUUGCAGUUACCAGCACCAAGGACAGCGACAACCUUUCCGCCGUCUGGGUGGUCCUUACCCGCAGCAAAUACAAUUCUAGGGACACCAAUCUUGAUGGUUUAUUGCUCCCCCGUCCCCCCUCCCUGCAACCUGGAAUCUCAGCAUCCGAGAGAGGCUGUGGCCGGAGGAUUGUGAUAUUAUUGUGCUAUCUGCUACUAUCUCAAUAAAGAAUAAUAUUCACUGAUUUUAAAGAAGAAAAACAAACAAACACUUACUGUUUCCUGUUCCAAGUGCUUUCAAUGUAUUAUUGCAUUCUACCUCCAUAAAGCUCCCAUGCAACAUACACUGAUACGGUAAUUUUACAGGCGGACUAUCUCUAAAGAGGACGCGCUCUCCACCACUAUUUGCUCAUCAUCAUACUAGCCUUGACAAGAAAUUCAAGACAAGCACUGAAGUAUUUUCAAAUUCACUUGAAAAGGCCGCUAUACGGAAUGGUUUUUCAUCUCUUCCCACCCCGCUCCAUUCUUCUAUGCACAAAAUUGAAGGCAGGUUAUACUACUAGGCGCAUCCCAUGGUAACAGAAAAAGCAUUUGUACCCCUCUUCUUCCAGCCUUAGACACGAAGUCUCCUGUGUGACAUACUGUGAUUCAGCACAGCAGUCUGUCAUCGUUGGAAGGAGCAUGGGCCUUCAGGGCUGGACUCAGAUGUGUGGUCUUUUUCUGCUGUCCUUUGAACCACAUGGAAGAAUGUGUUCACAGAGUUCUGAGAUGUCAUACGCUAAUACUGGCUUGUGACCUGCUGUUUCUUUGGAGGAUAUGCUGUGGGAGUUGGCUCCUAUUUGGAUUGGAAGGCCUGAAGGAACAGCUCUUUAUAGAGGAGUUCUCGUGGAGUCCACCAGGGAGAAGGAGGAAACCAAACACAACGGGAAACAUUUAACAAUUAAAACCAGCCCUUGCCUGUGUGGUCCUGUGUUUUACCAUAUUACUUUGUGGAAAUGGACGGCUGGGAAGAGCCUGACAGCUGAUAGAGCCAAAGACCUGUUAUAACCUUGUCUAUAAGGUAGUCAAGAAGUUACACAUGCUCAGAAAAAAAGUAUAUGACUAAACUACAUUACCAGCCUUUGAGCCAAAACUGGAUCCAAGUGUCUGACUCAGAGCUUUUGAACAUUCAUGAUUGUCUCCUUAUGAAUGGCAAGGAAAGUUACUCCUCACAGUUCCUGAAUUCUACACCCUACAGUAUCCUUGAACACUGCUGAUGAGUUAAUUGAUGCUUUCUUGGGAGAAGAGUUAAAGUUUUCCAGUGGAGGAUUGGAUUCUCUCAGACUGAAAAAGUCACCAGUCUCUGGACCAAUCUAAGAUUCCCUAAGGAUCCUGGGACAUGACAGUUUUCUUGGAAGCAUUUGAAUUUCCAGGGAAAAAAGAAUUCUCAAAAGAAGAAGUAUGCAGUCUGCAAGAGGUGGAAGAGGAGCUAGAUAAACAACAGCUGUUCUCUGUCUCACUUAAAUAAUCCCCAAGAAGUGUCAGCUCAUAAUUUACAUGUUUUCAAAAUAUUCCUUAACUGUUAUUGCAAAAUUAACCUUACAAUACUUUAUAAUUCACCUGAAAUCCUUUAGAAUCAACAGCAAACACCAGGAAAUGAGAAAUCUGGUUUAAUCCUAGAGUAACCACUUCAAGAAAAUGAAAAUUUUGAUCAAAAUUGCAUAAGAAAAAUCAGAAGUCCUUGGCUUGCAGAGGAGGAAUGCUCAGGAAGAAGAAAGAACUCCAUGGCGUCAAGAGGAGGGCAGAUUUGUGAACUCUAGCCCCUGAGAUAAAUUGAAGAUCAUCGUGAGACCUUCAGGAAUAUUGCAUUGCGUGCUUUACCUGGCAGACAGGAAGUGCCUAUUAUGAUGACAGCGAAGACAAUGGACACACAACUUUAACAUUCAACUGUGAUAUUGCUUACUCAAGGUCAAGUAUUCUAACUUAAUGGGAUUGUCCAAACACAGUAAA